UCCACGCAGUAAACGAUGAAUGUUAGUCGUUGGAUAGCAAGUCUAUUCAGUGAUGCAGUUAACACAUUAAACAUUCCGCCUGGGGAGUACGGUCGCAAGAUUAAAACUCAAAGGAAUAGACGGGGACCCGCACAAGUGGUGGAGCAUGUGGUUUAAUUCGAAAAUACGCGAAGAACCUUACCUAGCCUUGACAUUGAUAGAAUCUUCCAGAGAUGGAGGAGUGCCUUUCGGGGAACUUGAAAACAGGUGCUGCACGGCUGUCGUCAGCUCGUGUCGUGAGAUGUUGGGUUAAGUCCCGCAACGAGCGCAACCCUGUCACUAGUUACUAACAGUUAGGCUGAGGACUCUAGUGAGACUGCCUUGCAAGGAGG
rnacentral:rRNA from 1 species